rnacentral:rRNA from 1 species
UGGAAAUUCUUUUUUGAUUUUUAUAAUGUUUUGUUAUAUUAUUAAAAAAUUUUCUAGGGUAGAAUAUUAUAUAUUUUGAAGAACUAAAGGUAAGUUUAGGAAUUACUCCAGAGUUAACAGAAAAUCAUACUUAAUCUAGUUCUUAUAGUAGAGUAAGUUUUACAUCGAUGUUGUAUUUAAGUAUAUUAAGGAGGAGAAGAUUUAAUUUUUAAGACUGUUCUUCUUUUAAUUAAUUUAACGUGAUAU